rnacentral:rRNA from 1 species
AUUGAACGCUGGCGGCAGGCCUAACACAUGCAAGUCGAACGAGUGGCGGACGGGUGAGUAAUUUCUUGGAAACUGCCCGAUGGAGGGGGAUAACUACUGGAAACGGUAGCUAAUACCGCAUACCAUCGGAUGUGCCCAGAUGGGAUUAGCUAGCAGGUGGGGUAACGGCUCACCAAGGCGACGAUCCCUAGCUGGUCUCAGAGGAUGACCAGCCACACUGGAACUGAGAAACGGUCCAGACUCCUACGGGAGGCAGCAGUGGGGAAUAUUGCGCAAUGGGCGAAAGCCUGAUGCAGCCAUGCCGCUUGUAUGAAGAAGGCCUUCGGGUCGUAAAGUACUUUUGGCGAGGAGGCGUUAUUCGCCGAGGAAGCCACGGCUAACUACGUGCCAGCAGCCGCGGUAAUUC